rnacentral:rRNA from 1 species
CACGUAGGCGGACAUUUAAGUCAGGGGUGAAAUCCCGGGGCUCAACCUCGGAACUGCCUUUGAUACUGGGUGUCUAGAGUAUGGAAGAGGUAAGUGGAAUUGCGAGUGUAGAGGUGAAAUUCGUAGAUAUUCGCAGGAACACCAGUGGCGAAGGCGACUGACUGGACAAGUAUUGACGCUGAGGUGCGAAAGCGUGGGGAGCAAACA